rnacentral:lncRNA from 1 species
UGAGUUUAAAUGAAAAAUCUUAUUACAUAUGCACUCAAAAUCAUUCCUGUAUUUAAUUUAAACUCAUAAUUAGAAUAAUUUACAUCUAAUAUAAAAUUCAAAUUCAAAAUCAUUAGACACAAAAUUAAACCCAUAAUUAGUUUAGUAAACAAUAUAUUCCUACAACUUGAAUAUUUAAUGUAAAAACUUGAAGAUGAAUUAAACUUUCAAAAUUGU